UACGUAGGGGGCUAGCGUUGUUCGGAAUUACUGGGCGUAAAGCGUAUGCAGGCGGAUCGUUAAGUCGGGGGUGAAAUCCCGAGGCUCAACCUCGGAACUGCCUUCGAUACUGGCGACCUUCGAGUCCGGGAGAGGUGAGUGGAACUCCGAGUGUAGAGGUGAAAUUCGUAGAUAUCUGGAGGAACACCGGUGGCGAAGGCGGCAUCCUGGACCGGCAUUGACGCUGAGGCGCGAAAGCCAGGGGAGCAAACGGG
rnacentral:rRNA from 1 species